rnacentral:rRNA from 1 species
CCCAGACUCCUACGGGAGGCAGCAGUGGGGGAUAUUGCACAAUGGGGGGAACCCUGAUGCAGCGACGCCGCGUGGGUGAAGGAGCGUUUCGGCGCGUAAAGCCCUAUCGGCAGGGAAGAAGGAGGACGGUACCUGACUAAGAAGCCCCGGCUAACUACGUGCCAGCAGCCGCGGUAAUACGUAGGGGGCAAGCGUUAUCCGGAUUUACUGGGUGUAAAGGGGGCGCAGACGGCAGCGCAAGCCAGGAGUGAAAGCCCGGGGCCCAACCCCGGGACUGCUCUUGGAACUGCGCGGCUGGAGUGCAGGAGGGGCGGGCGGAAUUCCUGGUGUAGCGGUGAAAUGCGUAGAUAUCAGGAGGAACACCGGUGGCGAAGGCGGCCUGCUGGACUGCGACUGACGUUGAGGCCCGAAAGCGUGGGGAGCAAACAGGAUUAGAUACCCGUGUAUU